UUGCUUUGUCAGCAUAUAUACUAAAACUGAAAAAACAAAAAAAGAUUACUAUAACCUCUGUGCAAGGAUGACAUACAAAUUCUUAAAAUGUUUCAUAUUUUU